CCUACGGGUGGCAGCAGUCGAGAAUCGUUCACAAUGGGGGAAACCCUGAUGGUGCGACGCCGCGUGGGGGAAUGAAGGUCUUCGGAUUGUAAACCCCUGUUAUGUGGGAGCAAAUUACAAUGCUAGUACCACAAGAGGAAGAGACUGCUAACUCUGUGCCAGCAGCCGCGGUAAUACAGAGGUCUCAAGCGUUGUUCGGAAUCACUGGGCGUAAAGGGUGCGUAGGCUGUUUCGUAAGUCGUGUGUGAAAGGCGCGGGCUCAACCCGCGGACGGCACAUGAUACUGCGGGACUAGAGUAAUGGAGGGGGAAGCGGAAUGCACGGUGUAGCAGUGAAAUGCGUAGAUAUCG
rnacentral:rRNA from 1 species